CGGCGAGUCAAGCGGGAAGAGCUCAAAUCCCGAAAUCUUAAAGGGUUUCCCUUUACGAAUUGUAGUUUAAAGAAGUGUUUUCUGUUGAGGUUUUGGUAAAAGUUCUUUGGAAUAGGACAUCAUAGAGGGUGAGAAUCCCGUAUUUGACCUUUACUUUCAACUUUGUGAUACACUUUCAAAGAGUCGGAUUGUUUGGGAAUGCAGUCCAAAAUGGGUGGUAAAUUUCAUCUAAAGCUAAAUAUUGGCGAGAGACCGAUAGCGAACAAGUACCGUGAGGGAAAGAUGAAAAGAACUUUGAAAAGAGAGUUAAACAGUACGUGAAAUUGUCAAAAGGGAAGCGUUUGACACCAGUGUUGUUUUUCUGAAAAUCAAUUAAAGAACUGUUUAUGCUAAGUUGUUUAGACUUUAUCAGCUAACUGUUUAGUUUUGAGCUUUUCUUUAAUGCACUUUUCAGUUAACAAGUCAACAUCAAUUUCUUUUGCUGUAAAAAAGCUUGAGGAAGGUGGCUUGAGAUUCGUCUUAAGUGUUUAUAGCCUCUUGCCUAUGCAGUCGGAGAGAUUGAGGUCUGCAGCGUAGAUCCUUCGGGGCUAAAUGCAUUUGUGCUAAGUUAUAGCAUUUUAUAGACAACUUGUUGACUAUGAUUUGUCUUGUAGCUUACUCGCUUAUGUUAUUUUACCUACGCUUAGGAUGUUGACAAAAUGGUUUUAAACGACCCGUCU
rnacentral:rRNA from 1 species